GCACAUGCAGGAUCAUCUACACACUUACAAAAUGGGUGACAACAACAACACAGCAGAGAUUUUGGGGAUAGCAGUUUUGGGUGGUCUUGCCAUUUUGGGAAGUGCUGUAGCUAUUGGUGUUGCUGCUGGAGCUUCAGUCACUGUCAGUCUUUCUGUAACAGUGGGUGGUGCCACUGUUACAACUUCGGCUGUGAUAGCAUCUAAUAAAUAAGGACAAGUGAGGCAUCAUCUCACACCAUGGCAACAGCAAAGGGCAACCUGAAACACAUCAAUUUGCCAUGAUGACCAGAAACCCUACACGGACAAGAAUGGACUGACAAUACAGCUUUGCUAGAUGUUGCAUGAUUACAUGUACAGUUAAGCUUUCAAACUACAGAACU